rnacentral:rRNA from 1 species
UAACGCGAAGAACCUUACCAAGGCUUGACAUACACCGGAAACGGCCAGAGAUGGUCGCCCCCUUGUGGUCGGUGUACAGGUGGUGCAUGGUUGUCGUCAGCUCGUGUCGUGAGAUGUUGGGUUAAGUCCCGCAACGAGCGCAACCCUCGUUCUAUGUUGCCAGCGCGUUAUGGCGGGGACUCAUAGGAGACUGCCGGGGUCAAACCGGAGGAAGGUGGGGAUGACGUCAAAUCAUCACGCCCCUUAUGUCUUGGGCUUCACGCAUGCUACAAUGGCCGGUACAAAGGGCUGCGAUACCGUAAGGUGGAGCGAAUCCCAAAAAGCCGGUCUCAGUUCGGAUUGAGGUCUGCAACUCGACCUCAUGAAGUCGGAGUCGCUAGUAAUCGCAGAUCAGCA